UUCGGCGCCGACCUGGUGCUCAAGGUCGUCGCUCCCAACGAUGCCGAGCUGGCCCAGUUCAAGUCCGGCGCCGUGC
rnacentral:tRNA from 1 species